GUUUCCGUAGUGUAGUUGUUAUCACGUCUGCUUUACACGCAGAAUGUCCCCAGUUCGAGCCUGGGCAGAAACA
rnacentral:tRNA from 1 species